UCAAGUCAAUGAAGUUGAUCUCCCCGUGCAGAAGCGGGGAUAAUUACAUAAGACGAGAAGACCCUAUGGAGCUUGAGACGAUAGGGCAGCCCAUGUUAAACACCCCCCACACCGGACCAAACUAAAUGGCUCCUGCCUUAAUGUCUUCGGUUGGGGCGACCCUGGGGAAUACAAAACCCCCACGUGGAAUAGGAGCACCCGUCCCCCCCCCCGACUCCUCCAAACUAGAGCCACACCUCAAAUUAACAAAACUUUUGACCAAAAAUGAUCCGGCAACGCCGAUCAACGGACCAAGUUACCCUAGGGGAUAACAGCGCAAUCCCCUUUUUAGAGCCCAUAUCGACAAGGGGGUUUACGACCUCGAUGUUGGAUCAGGACAUCCUAUGGUGCAGCCCUAUAAGGUUCGUUUGUCACGAU
rnacentral:rRNA from 1 species